rnacentral:misc_RNA from 1 species
AAGUCGUAACAAGGUUUCCGUAGGUGAACCUGCGGAAGGAUCAUUAACACGUAUCCACGUAUCAACCAACCGAGAACUCGUUUUCAAUAUCUCCCUCGUAAGGAUCAUGAGUGGGCCAGUCCUCAAGAAAUGUUUGGGCUCCUCGGAGCGCUUGGGACACCGCAUAAUUGCGUGACGCUUAAACAACAAGCCACGACCACUGAAUUUCACCAGAGGCCCCCUUUCUUUACUGCCAGGUGAUCCAACCUCUGCCGAGCAGUUUAGAAUACUUACAAAACACGAUACACACCACUUUUUUGCUAGUUGACUUUUCUCUGUGCGGUCUGUCCGAAAGGAACGGCUCACACGUUUGAUUAUUUGAACGUUAAAAAUACAACUCUUAGCAAUGGAUAUCUUGGUUCUC